rnacentral:rRNA from 1 species
AGUGAACGCUGGCGGUAGGCCUAACACAUGCAAGUCGAACGGCAGCACAGUAAGAGCUUGCUCUUACGGGUGGCGAGUGGCGGACGGGUGAGGAAUACAUCGGAAUCUACUUUUUCGUGGGGGAUAACGUAGGGAAACUUACGCUAAUACCGCAUACGACCUACGGGUGAAAGCAGGGGAUCUUCGGACCUUGCGCGAUUGAAUGAGCCGAUGUCGGAUUAGCUAGUUGGCGGGGUAAAGGCCCACCAAGGCGACGAUCCGUAGCUGGUCUGAGAGGAUGGUCAGCCACACUGGAACUGAGACACGGUCCAGACUCCUACGGGAGGCAGCAGUGGGGAAUAUUGGACAAUGGGCGCAAGCCUGAUCCAGCCAGACCGCGUGUGUGAAGAAGGCGUUCGGGUUGUAAAGACCUUUUUUUGGGAAAGAAAAGCAGCAGGUUAAUACCCCGCUGUUCUGACGGUACCCAAAGAAUAAGCACCGGCUAACUUCGUG